AUGCCUACGGGAGGCAGCAGUGGGGGAUAUUGGACAAUGGGGGGAACCCUGAUCCAGCGACGCCGCGUGAGUGAAGAAGUAUUUCGGUAUGUAAAGCUCUGUCAGCAGGGAAGAAAGAAAUGACGGUACCUGACCAAGAAGCCCCGGCUAACUACGUGCCAGCAGCCGCGGUAAUACGUAGGGGGCAAGCGUUAUCCGGAAUUACUGGGUGUAAAGGGAGCGUAGACGGUUAAGUAAGUCUGGAGUGAAAUGCCGGGGCUCAACCCCGGAACUGCUUUGGAAACUGUGCGGCUCGAGUGCGGGGG
rnacentral:rRNA from 1 species